AGUGAACGCUGGCGGUAGGCCUAACACAUGCAAGUCGAACGGCAGCACAGUAAGCGCUUUCUCUUACUGUUGGCGAGUGGCGGACGGGUAAGGAGUACAUCGGAAUCUACUUUUUCGUGGAUGAUAACGGAGGGCAACUUACGCUAAUACCUCAUACUACCUACGGGUUAAAUCAGGGGAUCUUCGGGCUUUUCGCGUUUGAUUUAGCCGGUGUCGGAUUGGCUAGUUGGCAAGGUAACGGCCUACCAAGGCAACGAUGCGUAGCUGACCUGAGAGGAUGAUCGGCCACACUGGAACUGAGACACGGUCCAGACUCCUACGGGAGGCAGCAGUAGGGAAUCUUCCGCAAUGGGCGAAAGCCUGACGGAGCAACGCCGCGUGAGUGAUGAAGGUCUUCGGAUCGUAAAACUCUGUUAUUAGGGAAGAACAUAUGUGUACGUAACUGUGCACAUCUUGACGGUACCUAAUCAGAAAGCCACGGCUAACUACGUG
rnacentral:rRNA from 1 species